rnacentral:rRNA from 1 species
GCUUGUCUCAAAGAUUAAGCCAUGCAUGUCUAAGUAUAAACUGCUUAUACUGUGAAACUGCGAAUGGCUCAUUAAAUCAGUUAUAGUUUAUUUGAUGGUACCUCUACUCGGAUAACCGUAGUAAUUCUAGAGCUAAUACGUGCGUAAAUCCCGACUUCUGGAAGGGGUGUACUUAUUAGAUGGAAACCAAUGCGGGGCAACCCGGAUUCUGGUGAUUCAUAAUAAUUAUCGGAUCGAUCGUAUGAUCGAUGCAUCAUUCAAGUUUCUGCCCUAUCAGCUUUGGAUGGUAGGGUAUUGGCCUACCAUGGCAUUAACGGGUAACGGAGAAUUAGGGUUCGAUUCCGGAGAGGGAGCCUGAGAAAUGGCUACCACAUCCAAGGAAGGCAGCAGG